AGAGUUUGAUCCUGGCUCAGGACGAACGCUGGCGGCGUGGAUUAGGCAUGCAAGUCGAACGGUAUAAACCUUUCGGGGUUUAGAGAGUGGCGAACGGGUGAGUAACACGUAGGUAAUCUACCCUCAAAACGGGGACAACCCAGGGAAACUUGGGCUAAUACCGGAUGCGUGCAAGCAAUGUUUUGGCUGUUAAUGCUAUUCACGGAAGUGAGUAGUGUUAAUGGUUGAGAGCAUUAUUUGCAUAAAAGGUGGCAUUUGCUGCCGUUUGAGGAUGAGCCUGCGUCCUAUUAGUUAGUUGGUGAGGUAAUGGCUUACCAAGGCGAUGAUAGGUAGGCGGCCUUAACGGGUGGUCGCCCACACUGGGAUUGAGAGACGGCCCAGACUCCUACGGGAGGCAGCAGUCGAGAAUAGUCUACAAUGGACGGAAGUCUGAUAGUGCGACGCCGCGUGAACGAAGAAUCCCUUCGGGGUGUAAAGUUCUUUUAUACGUGAGCAGUGCCCUUUAUAUGAAUAGUAUAGAGGGAGGGAUUUAAGCGUAUGAAUAAGCAACGGCUAACUCCGUGCCAGCAGCCGCGGUAACACGGGGGUUGCAAGCGUUGUCCGGAAUUACUAGGCGUAAAGUGCAGGUAGGCGGAUAGAUAAGUUUAAGGUUAAAGGCUACGGCUUACCCGUAGUAAGGCGUUAGAUACUGUUUAUCUGGAAUGCGGUUGAGGGAGACAGAAUUCCUGGUGUAGCGGUGGAAUGCGCAGAGAUCAGGAGGAAUACCGAAGGCGAAGGCAGUCUUCUAAGCCGAUAUUGACGCUAAACUGCGAAGGUGUGGGGAUCAAACAGGAUUAGAUACCCUGGUAGUCCACACAGUAAACGAUAAUCACUAGGUGUUGGGUUCGUAUAGGACUCGGUGCCGGAGCUAACGCGAUAAGUGAUUCGCCUGGGGAGUACGAUCGCAAGGUUGAAACUCAAAGGAAUUGACGGGGGCCCGCAC
rnacentral:rRNA from 1 species